rnacentral:rRNA from 1 species
CAGUAGCCGCGGUAAUACAGAGGGUGCGAGCGUUAAUCGGAUUUACUGGGCAUAAAGCGUGCGUAGGCGGCUUCUUAAGUCGGAUGUGAAAUCCCUGAGCUUAACUUAGGAAUUGCAUUCGAUACUGGGAAGCUAGAGUAUGGGAGAGGAUGGUAGAAUUCCAGGUGUAGCGGUGAAAUGCGUAGAGAUCUGGAGGAAUACCGAUGGCGAAGGCAGCCAUCUGGCCUAAUACUGACGCUGAGGUACGAAAGCAUGGGGAGCAAACAGGAUUAGAUACCCGGGUAGUCCCUGUCUCUUAUAC